GCCCUCCCGGGCCGCGGCCGAGCGGCCUCGGAGCAGGGCUGCGCUCCUUUCCCGGCACCGCGCCCCUCUCCAGACGCCGGGAGCGGCCGCGUGCCGGAAAAUGCCGCCGGGGCGGCGGGGCGGAGCCCUGGCUCUGCCCGCCCCUGCUGCCGCCCUCCUUGGAAGGUCAAGGGAGCCGCCCCGUCCCGCCGCGUCCCUGGCUCGUCCCGCCGCCUCCCCGUGCUUUUCCGCCGUCUCCACUCUCGCACAAGCCCCCCGCCUCCGGGCCCCGCUCCGGUGCAGGGAAAUGCAGGAGAACACGGAAGCAUCGGGGCAGAACCGGCGCUGGAGGUGCCCGAGCCGUCUCCCGGCCCGCAGGAGCAGAGGUGCCCGCCGCCGUGAGCUGACAGGUCCAUGCUGGAGAUUGGGAGAAGGGUCCCUGCUGGUUGCUGUGUCCUCGGUGGGCAGAGAGAUCUGACCUUGGCCAGAUGGGCUGUUGCAGUAUCUCUUGGGUGCUGUGCAGAACGGAAUCAGGCAGCCAAGCCUCAGGUUUCCCUUCUCCCUGACCCUCUACGCUGCUGGUGUGGCACAGCAGAUCCUGAAGCAG
rnacentral:lncRNA from 1 species